UGGGGAAUAUUGGGCAAUGGGCGAAAGCCUGACCCAGCAACGCCGCGUGAAGGAAGAAGGUCUUCGGAUUGUAAACUUCUUUUAUGAGGGACGAAGGACGUGACGGUACCUCAUGAAUAAGCCACGGCUAACUACGUGCCAGCAGCCGCGGUAAUACGUAGGUGGCAAGCGUUAUCCGGAUUUACUGGGUGUAAAGGGCGCGUAGGCGGGGAUGCAAGUCAGAUGUGAAAUCUAUGGGCUUAACUCAUAAACUGCAUUUUGAAACUGUAUCUCUUGAGUGCUGGAGAGGUAGACGGAAUUCCUUGUGUAGCGGUGAAAUGCGUAGAUAUAAGGAAGAACACCAGUGGCGAAGGCGGUCUACUGGACAGUAACUGACGCUGAGGCGCGAAAGCGUGGGGAGCAAACAGGAUUAGAUACC
rnacentral:rRNA from 1 species